CCUACGGGUGGCUGCAGUCGAGAAUCAUUCACAAUGGAGGAAACCCUGAUGGUGCGACGCCGCGUGGGGGAAUGAAGGUCUUCGGAUUGUAAACCCCUGUCAUGUGGGAGCAAAUUAAAAAGAUAGUACCACAAGAGGAAGAGACGGCUAAAUCGGUGACAGCAGCCGCGGUAAUACAGAGGACUCAAGCGUUGUUCGGAAUGACUGGGGGUAAAGGGUGCGGAGGCUGUUUCGUAAGUCGUGUGUGAAAGGCGCGGGCUCAACCCGCGGACGGCACAUGAUACUGGGAGACUAGAGUAAAGGAGGGGGAACCGGAAUUCGCGGUGUAGCAGUGAAAUGCGUAGAUAUCGAGAGGAACACUCGUGGCGAAGGCGGGUUCCUGGACAUUAACUGACGCUGAGGCACGAAGGCGAGGGGAGCGAAAGGGAUUAGAUACCCCUGUAGUC
rnacentral:rRNA from 1 species